AACUUCCUCAUAAUGGGAACGCCGAACUUCGACUCCGCACUGCUCGGCCAAGCGAAUCAAUCCAACAGCAUAACGAAUUGCCGCGACGGUCAGCUGAGAAAGUGCCAUCUUUCUCCUGGCGACGAAUCCAAGCAAGAAUAUCGGGAUGGGAAACGACAAGCCGCACUCAGUGAGAAACUUCUCGUAGACGCACAUAUAACCCUCCGGAGUCGUCCAAGGACGCUCGUGCGUUUCCGGGACCCGAGCCACUAAACCACGCGGUGCGUUACAAAAGCGAAGCGCGGUACUCAUGGAAGAAGCCGACGUCUUGGUUGGUCCCAGAUAGUCAGCCGAGCCGGGCUUAGGGCCGGAUACACCAGGAAAUACACCAAUCUCAUCAGAAACUGUCAUCUCCUUAACAUCGUCCCCAAAACCUCCCCCAACCGCAGAUCGAGGUUCGAAGAUCGCGAUCUCCUCAGAAGCUAUGGCUUCCUUGAAAUCCUCAUCACCAAUUUCCUCAUCUGUAAGCCGGGGUUUGAAAGUGGUGGUCGCCGCAGCACCUGUUUCAGCCCGGUCAACUAGAGGAGAAGAAAUGCGGCGCCGUAGCUCGGCCACAACAGAAGUUCGCGAAGACGACCCAGAGGAAGAAUAUCCCGCCUCGACAAGAUCGUCAUCAAGAGAUUCGGCUCGAAAACGGUCGGCUCCAGAACGCUCUGAAGAACCGUCCGGGGUGCGAGAUCGACGAUGGUCGGAGAGAGAACUGAUGGAAAUAUCUGACGACGGCAUUACAAAUUACGAGCUCAAAAUAGAGAAGGGGAAGAAGAAAGUACCUUUGGCUGCGAAGAAUCCUGAGAAAACUAAGCGUGUUUCUCGCAUUUAUAGAGGCGAGAAAAUGACCUAGGAAAUCAUUGUGCCGCCGAGUAGGCGCAAUGAUUACCUACGCACCGCUUCAGCUUCCGAAUCCGCAAGAAACCAAGUGCACGAAUCAGAAGGCACGUUGGAUCCACGCGCUGCAUCGAAAAGGACGAAGCCACAGGCGCGUCAGUUUCGCUGAUCUGUUAAAUCCGACGUCCGCAACCGAACAUCGGAUUGGGGGACAACUGUUGAUACAUCAAUUGGGCCUCAGUGAUCAACCGGCCCAUUUCAAGGAAUAACGACCCAGCCCGACCAUCACUUUAGAACUCGAGCCGGCCCAGCAGGCCGAAGCCCAGCCUGGUCAGGAUGUGAGUUCAGCUGCGUAGAAAAGGGGGGCACUCUCGGGAAUUCACCUUGCGUACCCUACUAUACGGACGGGUAUAAAUAAGGAAUAGAAAGUCUCGGGAGAAGGGACGUUUUUCGGGACCUGGAGAAAGGAUAGCACAAGUCAGCUCGCCCGGAAGAGCCAGCUCAUCGAUACAAGUCAGCUCGUCGAGAGAAGUCUGCUCGUCGAAGAUCAGCCAGCUCGCCCAGAAGAGCCAGCUCACUAGAACCACCAGCUCGAAACGGCAUCGCCUCGUAGCGCCCUCAACUACGCUCUCAGUUCGCAAUAAGCCUUUCAGCCCGUCGAUUGCCCAGCUUCAAGUUCAGCUCGUGGAUUAGAGAUUGAUUCUUCACCUUCCCCAGAGACUCACCCGUACUUGUUUAAUUCGUGCAUUAACACAACCGUUCACACCUCCUUGAGAAGUGAUCUCACGGUGCGGAUGAAACCCGUUUACUUGGACCGCACUCUCCAUUGGUUGA
rnacentral:sRNA from 1 species